AUGUCAGGAAGAGAUCGCCUGCCGCGUCGUUUUGUCGAAGAUGGAAGGGGCUAUGUUGACGCCCGUGUGGCUGAGGAUCGCAGGGGUCAUCAUCCUGGCAUCCGAGUGGUUGAUGAUCGUAGGGGCCAUCAUGAGAUCCGUGUAGUCGAAGAUCGCAGAACCUAUCCUGCAGUUCGUGUGAUUGAGGAUCGUAGAGCCUACCCUGAGAUUCACGAAAGGCCGCUCAUGAGGGUGGCUCCUCGCUCUCACCCGGAUGUCCUAGAGGAAGAAAUUCAGUUGCACGAGGUUGAUUUCCGCAGGCUUAUGGCUGAUCGUCAUGCUCUAGCUGAGGAACGGAUGGAGUUGCACAGGGAGUUGCAAGCCGGAAAGGAGGAGGUCCGUCACCUUAACAUGAUCAUCGCAGAGAUUAAUGCCAAGAAGGAAGCUUAUAUCAGCGAGCUCGUUGACAAGAGAAGGAAGCUUGAAGCUGAACUUAGAUCAAAUGAGCCUUUGAGAGAUGAGGUUGUGCAUCUUCGUGGUGAAAUCGAGAAGCUCCUUGCUGUUAGGAAAGAACUCUCUGCAAAGGCUGCAUCACUCAUGCAGGAGCUGAGUAGGGAGAGAUCUGAUAAACAACAGCUACCUAUGCUGAAAGCAGAGAUUGAGGGCCUUCAACUGGAACUUACUCAUGCAAGGAAUGCAUGUGAAUUGGAGCAGAAGGGGAAUUUCGAGUUGGUGGAACAAAGGAAAGCAAUGGAAAAGAGUAUGAUUUCGAUGGCACAAGAACUUCAACAAAUGCGGGCCGAAUUAGCUAAUUUUGAUGGCAGACCAUGGGGCACAGGUGGAGCACAUGGGAUGAAGCUGGGCAGUCCUGAAGCGACCUUCCCUACUCAAUAUGGAGAUAAAUACAAUAUACAUGUGGGAGUUUCUGAGAAAGGUCCUUCGCACCCUCCUGAAUCUUCGUGGGGCUCAUUUGAGAAGAACCGUUUCCAGUACCGCUAA
rnacentral:rRNA from 1 species